AGUGAGAAUGCCGGUAUGAGUAGCGAAAGACGGGUGAGAAUCCCGUCCACCGAAUGCCUAAGGUUUCCUGAGGAAGGCUCGUCCGCUCAGGGUUAGUCGGGACCUAAGCCGAGGCCGAAAGGCGUAGGCGAUGGACAACAGGUUGAUAUUCCUGUACCACCUCCUCACCAUUUGAGCAAUGGGGGGACGCAGGAGGAUAGGGUAAGCGCGGUAUUGGAUAUCCGCGUCCAAGCAGUUAGGCUGGGAAAUAGGCAAAUCCGUUUCCCGUGAAGGCUGAGCUGUGAUGGCGAGCGAAAUUUAGUAGCGAAGUUCCUGAUUCCACACUGCCAAGAAAAGCCUCUAGCGAGGUGAGAGGUGCCCGUACCGCAAACCGACACAGGUAGGCGAGGAGAGAAUCCUAAGGUGAUCGAGAGAACUCUCGUUAAGGAACUCGGCAAAAUGACCCCGUAACUUCGGGAGAAGGGGUGCUUCUUAGGGUGUUAAAGCCCCGAGAAGCCGCAGUGAAUAGGCCCAGGCGACUGUUUAGCAAAAACACAGGUCUCUGCGAAGCCGU
rnacentral:rRNA from 1 species